GUCAUUAAGAAAACAGAUUUGAAUUAAAUUGGACGGAGUCACGGGUUUUAAACUAGCAUCAAACGUUCCUAAGGUCAUUAAGUAAACAGAUUUGAAUGAAACUGGAUGGAGUCACAGACUUCAAACUACAGUCAAACGAUCCUAAGGUAACCUGAUGAUUUUUAAUAUUGAUCAAGUUCUGUAAGUUUCGUAGACAUCUCAAGUGUGUUGCUACAUUUCACUCACACUUGAUAACCUCUACUCUUCGUAGAAUGUCUUCACCAUACUGCAUAUAAAAAUAUUUCAAUGUAAAGCUUAA